AAGAGACGUUGCCCUUCGGGUAUACCUCCCACCCUUUGUUUAUUAUACCUUUGUCGCUUUGGCGGGCCCGUCCUCGGACCACCGGCUUCUGCUGGUCAGUGCCCGCCAGAGGACCUAAAACUCUGUUUGUUAAUAUUGUCUGAGUACUAUAUAAUAGUUA
rnacentral:misc_RNA from 1 species